GGUUCACAAUGCCGGAGAGGGUGACAAUGCGACGCCGCGUGAGCGAUGAAGGCCUUCGGGUUGUAAAGCUCUGUCAGCACGGAUGAAAGCAAAGAGGUUAACAACCUUUUUGAUUGACGGUACGAGCAGAGGAAGCCACGGCUAACUCCGUGCCAGCAGCCGCGGUAAUACGGAGGUGGCAAGCGUUGUUCGGAUUCACUGGGUGUAAAGGUCAUGUAGGCGUCCAAUUAAGUCGGGUGUGAAAUACAUUGGCUCAACCAAGGAACUGCAUUCGAUACUGGUCGGAUUGAGUACGGGAGAGGUAAGCGGAAUUCCGGAAGUAAGGGUGAAAUCUGUAGAUAUCCGGAAGAACACCAUUACCGAAGGCGGCUUACUGGUCCGAUACUGACGCUGAAAUGAAAAAGCUAGGGGAGCAAACAGGAUUAAAUAUCCUGGUAGUCCUAGCCGUAAACGAUGGGCACUAAGUAGAGGGGUUUU
rnacentral:rRNA from 1 species